UUCCAAAGUCAGCACUACACCAAUAUCACAGAUUUCUUUUCUUUUUCCAGCUUUGUUAAGAUAUAUCAGUGGGCAGACUUGGGGAAUGACCGCGAACUAACUAAAUUCCUCAUUUGUACCCACACUCCUGGAACAAGGUAAGUCUCAGUCAUAUCUUGCGGUCAAAGCAUGAAAACCUGUGGAGGAGACUGAAUUCAGAAAACUUCUCCCCUGCAAGAGCCGAAAGCAGGCGCCAAGCCAGACCCUGGGGAAAAGACAGUCCCAGGCUGCUGAGGCUCAGAGGGGGCCGGCCUGGCUCUCCUCAAGGCGAGGGCGCUCAUCUGGGGCCACCCAGGGGCAGCAGGAUCAGGAUCCUGAUCAGGUUGGGGAUGGGAAUGAGGGUCUCCGGCCCGAGCCUCUGCUUGAAGGGCAGGGGAGGCGCCCAGCCAGCAGAGGGGUCUCGGGGCUCAAGUGUCAUAACAGCCGGUGAGGCGGGUGUGGAGACACAGAUCCAUGCUGAGGACCAUAGAGCCAUCCCGACCACCGCUGGCACCUUCCAGGCCAUUUCCAAGCUCACCGCCACUCUGGAUUGUGUGGCUGCUUCCUGCCACCUUCAGGAGAGAACAGAGGGGACACAGAACACGGGACCUCACAGAGGAGAUGGCUGGGAGCACCCACCUUGCUAGUGAGAGCCCCGCGCCUCCAGCUCCCGUGAUUUCUGCGCCACCUGGAGGAGAGAAGUCUGGAAGGGACAGAGGAGGAUGGGCCAGCCCGCAGGAGGGGACCACCCGGACUCCCUUCAGGACGGGCCUGUGGACUUGGGCACUGUGAUUUUCCUUUCCCUGGACCGCCUGGCUCAGAACCAGAGGCUGGGCUCCUGUAGGAGAGGCUAUGGGGGAGAGGACCUCUUUUACAAGCCCAGUAAAAAGAGUCCAGCCAGAGCCAGGAUGGUGAACCACAGAAUCCGGGGGCGGAAAGGAGGUGUGAGAAGAAGCCUCUGGAUCCUCCCUCUCUAAGCACAAUGAAUGGUAGUCAGCAUGCAUCCUGCCAAGCGUCCUUCUCCUGAGCUGUUUGAAUCGCUGGACCCGCACAAGUCUGCAGAGGGCUGGGGGUGUGGGGAGAUGUCCGAGAGUUUCCCUGAGCACAGGUUCAUUCUCGUGUUCUUUGUCCAGCUCAGUACCUGGCGUCUGGCGAGGGCGCCCCACACAGAUGCUCAGGAGGCUCACUGCACAAGUCUGCCAGGCCUCUGCCAGCAGGGUUCUGCCAACCCAGAAGUGCAAGCUUAGUCAGAACUCGGGCUGGCAGCACCGCCCAGCGGCUGCAGCUCAGACAGGGCCUUCUGCACCCAAGGUCGAGGUGCUCAUGGGAGGGAUGCACUCCAGGAACGGGGUUCAGGCGCGCAACUGUGGAGCUCCGAGACCGACGAUGUGAUAGGCCUGUGUCCGGGGCUCCACCAGCAAAGGCAGCCAGCCAGGAGCAAGCUUGUUAUGACUGCUGGGCGAAUAAUCGAGGGGAAUGAUCUCAGGAAGAGUGGAGACCUGAGGGGACAAUGGAAGCUCUGGGCAGCCAAGGGGAGGUGACACGAGGACUCCCUCUAGGAUUCUGUGUUGGGGGGCCAGGAGCGGGGUGAGCAGGGACAAGUCCAGAUGGUUUUAGGAGGCAGGACAGCCGGGCCUUGGGGAGUGCUAGUCUGAUGGGGGAGGCAGAGGCUAUGUUGGAGGGCUCCUAGAGGCUGGCAAGGUCGGUUAGGGGUCCUGGGGACACUUACUAACUUGGCCAGCUCGAGCACAGGAGAAUGAAUUUGGUGGGGAGUCCUGAGAGCAGUUAGGUGGGUGUGGAGGGGCCGGAGCCCUCAGGAGGCGUUGAGGGGGUGCUGUGGAAGGACCACCCAGAUGAAGACCGGGGGAUGGUGAGGGUGCCUGGAGACCAGCUGGGGAGCCUGCGGUGAGUCUGUGUGCGUGCGCCAGGCUGGAGGUGGGGGCUGGGAGCCUGUGUGGCGUGCGCUUCCAGGAGGGGCCAUGUUCUGCAUGGAACUCGUUCGUGGGACCUGACCUGUGGUGCAUUUCUGCCCAGAGCUGCACGUACACCCUCGUGGGGCGCUUCCUUGUCUUGUGCUCCAUCUCUGCCCUCGGGAUCAGACGGCCCUGUUCCUGACGCCAAGAGGGAUUAUUAACUUGCCUCACCUCCUUGAGCCAGACCAGGCUGGCCCUCUGGAAUGGAUCAGGGAGGGAAGAGGAAUGUGCCCAUGCCCAGGCCCCUAAAAUUGUGAGAUAUGAUAAGAGAAACAGAGGGGGGGAAAGCCCCAGCCUACUGGGGACUGCACGUAGCGAACUUCAUGACUGGCCACAGAGCACACAGGGCCAGUGGGCAUAUUGCCCUCGAGGGAAGAGUUAGAGGCCUCACCCGAGGGGAGGACGCUGUGCCCAGGACCCUCAAUGCGGACUCUAACCACGAUACUCACCGUCGGGCUUCCCCGCCAGAAGGCUGGAUGUUGUGAGCAUUCUCUGUAUUUCUCCACAGUCUUCCUCGUUAUGUCUGCUCUAAUGGUUUCAUUCGGAACACUCCCUUUCCCUUGUAAUUAAUAAAACUUUGC
ensembl:lncRNA